UACGUAGGGUGCAAGCGUUAAUCGGAAUUACUGGGCGUAAAGCGUGCGCAGGCGGUUUUGUAAGUCUGACGUGAAAUCCCCGGGCUCAACCUGGGAAUUGCGUUGGAGACUGCAAGGCUGGAGUCUGGCAGAGGGGGGUAGAAUUCCACGUGUAGCAGUGAAAUGCGUAGAGAUGUGGAGGAACACCGAUGGCGAAGGCAGCCCCCUGGGUCAAGACUGACGCUCAUGCACGAAAGCGUAGGGAGCAAACAGG
rnacentral:rRNA from 1 species